rnacentral:lncRNA from 1 species
CCUUGAUUGACUCGUGCGCUCCGAGUAUGGAACAUCGUGUGCCUAAAAAUCCUGAGAAGGACAAUGAUGUGCAUUAUUAUUAGCCUGCCUGCCUUCCAUCUGUACGACGUGCGCACAAAAUAUAUGACAACGCUCAAGAGAAUUUGGCAGCACAUCCAUCUGGCCUCCGGCCUCGCAACCGCAGACCAUGUGUAACCAUGCCAGCCCAGGACCUCCACAUCCGUCUUCUUCACCUGCGGGAUCAUCUGAGACCAGCCACCUGGACAGUUGAUGAAACUGAGGAGUAUUUCUGUCUGUAAUGAAGACUUUUUGUGUGGAAAAACGAAUUCUGAUUGGCUGGACCUGGUUCGGACUUUUUCCUCCUCUCUGGCCGUGCCGUUGACAACCAUAGCCGUAAAGAGUACAACGUCCAGUUUUUAACCUGUAUAUCUGUGUCCUGCUGAUGAGAGCCAACCCCUGCCACCUGCAGUGAAUGCCUAUCCACCACCAUGGCCUUUCACUAAG